UACGAAGGGGGCUAGCGUUGUUCGGAAUUACUGGGCGUAAAGCGCACGUAGGCGGACUCUUAAGUCAGGGGUGAAAUCCCGGGGCUCAACCUCGGAACUGCCUUUGAUACUGUGAGUCUCGAGACCGGAAGAGGUGAGUGGAAUUCCUAGUGUAGAGGUGAAAUUCGUAGAUAUUAGGAAGAACACCAGUGGCGAAGGCGGCUCACUGGUCCGGUUCUGACGCUGAGGUGCAAAAGCUUGGGAGCAAACAGG
rnacentral:rRNA from 1 species